ensembl:lncRNA
GUGUAAAACGCAAACAGAUCAGCUGCAAAGUGCUACAGCUUCUACUAUUACCACUGACAGUGGAGGCCCGCUUAUCUUUUCCAAACUUCUCGCAAGUGAUGUUUAAGUGCCUGCAAGCCAAUAUCAUACAAAGUCUGGAAGCCUGGCAACAACCGCUUCUCACAGUAAUGUAAGUUGAGUUACUAAACUACUGGACCUCACAUCAAACUGGCUGAAGAAUAUUUUGCUUUACCGAUUCGACGAGGGAGGAUGUGGAAAAUGUGGUUGUGUUCACCUCUGGCAGAAGGACAACGGCAAAGAGUUGGUGAGUAACAGUUCAUAUUGUUGCAGCUAUUUCUUUACUGAAAUGGAUAUGUAGGACCUAAGUUAUAAUUUUGCAAAACCAAAGGGAAUUAAUCCAGAGUUAAACUCUGAUAUGAUCACCAAGUUAAUCGCUGCAUCAAUGGUUUUUGAAGUGCUACAUAAUUUUAGUUACUAUUAACUGGUUGCAAGCCACUUUAAUAAGUCCAACCACAUAAACCAAUCAUUUGUGAGACUCCUAAAAGAAAUCCUAUUCCCACUGGCAAUGCAGUCCUCCAUCAUUUGGCUAGAUACGUUUGCUGGAGACAGAGUUCUACCAGACUGGUUCAAGUCAAGAUGACAAAUUCCAUGUUCCAGACAGAAAAAAAAUAUUUCCAUCAGGCAAAGAAAUUCAGAGAAAAAAAAAAUCAAUGAUUAUUUUUUGGAGAUAGAUCUCUUUCAUAUUGAUGAGUCCAGUCUUGUGAGGUAAUUUGUUGGAGUUUGAAAUGAACACUCUCUAUUCUCAGUGAUAACGAAUGUCACUUAGAGCUUGUCAAUAACCCCUAAUAACUGGAGAAGUGUCAAAACCUAACGUGCUUAAUCUUUGGAGAAAAUAAUAAAGGAGAGAUUUUAGAAGGUCAUCAUCAAAAUAUCUUCACAUGCACUCGAAAUGGACAGCUUGAAAAAAGGUAUGAGUUCUGUUUUAUUCUGUGCGUGACCUGAUACAGUACAACUGCAGUCUUGAAUAUAGGCUGCAAGAAGAAACAGCUUGGAAUACAUAGGUAUUUGGAGGAUUUAUGUUAAUCAUUGUUAAACUGUUUUUGUACCUCAAGUGACCUGCUGAAAGAACUUUGAGCUUAAAUGUUUGUCUUCUUUUCCCAGCUCUAGUAAUAAAAAGCUGUACUUCUUCAUAAAAGUUACAUGCCUGUCAAGGAGUGCAAGGCAUUCCCCCACUUUCUUCUCUGUGAUACUGGGAGGAAUAUUGGUUGGAAAGCAGAAGUGGUAGCCUUGGUUAAAGGCAUGAAAAUGACCUUCAGAUGACUUCAUUAGCAAGUGAUGAUUAUGCUCAAAUGUCCUUUGAGGUAAGACACUUUAAAACCACACUUGCAUGCUACGCCCCAACUUCUGGGGCCAUACACUAGGAUUCUCAGUACUCCAAUAAAUACGCUAAUAUACUGGUUGAGGUCCUUUACAGCAAACGAUGUAAAAACCUGUUUGCCCUUAGAUGGUGUAAAGAUAUGUAACAUAAAUACUAAAAUUGGUAUGGAUGGAAAGGCCUGUCUGACAGCACCAAAAGAAACAAUGGAGUGAAAUAACAAAGCUACAUCACCAUGGAAGUGCCAUUCUUCUCCCUGCUAUCUCAACAUUAAGACAGACCAUCAUCAUAAAGAUAUGUGACAUGAAGAAGCAAACAGAAGGGGCAUCAGCCUUGCUGAAGAGUCACAGAGGCAAGAAUAUUGCUCCAUAGUAACUGUUGACUCCUAAAGGUUAUACAAACCUGUCCUAACCUGGUUUAUUGUCAUCUAAGAGGAAUUCAAGAAAUGUAGUGACAACCUGACAGCUACUUGCUAUUGCCAUCCAUAUCACGUACAGGUGGUCCUGGUAAAACUGCUUGGGCAUGCACGUGUCUCAGUGCUUCCAAGUACGUGGGCAUGAAGCUGUGAAUGGGUAAACCGACUCACACAGAGGACUGUAAACUAAAAUCAUGUUCUACCAGCAUAAGGUCUUGUAUUGCCUUUCUGGCACCAAUAACCUGCAAGGACAAGUACCUCCCAUUGUGUAACGCUAUGUUAUGGACGUAGUUAAUGGGUUUGCCUUUCUCUUGAGCAGAGUGGUUCACAAAUCCCAAUUCUGUUUGCCCAACGCUCUGCUCAGUAAUUUCAAAAUCGGUAAUUAGGGGAGGACGUUGGAGGAUUUCCAAUAUAUAGCAAGGCAAGCUUAAUUAAUGGUUUUAAAAGUGGAAUCUGUUAAUCACGGACGGAAAUCUAUGUCAUGACUGCUUAGCGCAGAGUAAGAGUUGUCUCUGACAACUCUGUUGAUCCCUUGCAAAUCAAUAUUCUGAACUGAAGUGACCAGUUUGGAUGAUAUUAUCAUACAGCUGCACAUGGCAAAAUGGCUCUAUGAACAGCUGAGGACAUGAAUUCCUGUUCUAGCUUCUGCUAGGCCAGACAGCUUCAGUUAAGAGUUUCAUUACAACUAGAGAUAAGCAUUCUUCUGUGAACAUUAAUUUAAAGGUAAUAUUCAGUAAAGCAGACCACAGGAGAGUGUGGUCAGAAAUGACACAGCCACUCUGUGUAACUCAGUGGUCCAGAAGGAACAGGGAUGACAUGAUCACAGCACUCACUCUGGUGAUAACCCUUACAGAUGAAAGCCAUGAUAGUCUAUAUUUAAGAUGACAAAAUUGCAACUGAUAUAGCUUAUGGGAAGUAUAAAUCCCGCAUUUUUAAGCUAAUUCUUCAUUUCAUUUAUCUUUGCUUUGUCAAAACAAGCAGUAAUUCCAUCUGAUGUCUAUGAGUAAAACACCACCUAAUAAACCUUAAUGAACACUGCUGAAGGAUGUAGAGUCCCUGGAUAUAGCUGAAACUCCCUGCCAGAACAGAGGGAAGGGUCCUUACUGGAAGGGAUACAGAGAAGAAGAAAAGACCAGGAGAAAAUGAACUAUGAAUGUUGACAACAUGACAGAUAGCAUCUGCAGUGGUUAUUGUUAGCCUCCACACACAUUCCCAGGACAGUUACUCCCUCUUGCAGUGUCAGCCACAGAUAACCUUUGAUGGCUUAAAGGGUACCAAACAAGAUGUUUAGGGAAAAUACACUGAUUACAUCUGUCCCUUGCUUCACCUUCCUGCUACGCUGCUCUCUUCCCUCUACUUGCUAUCUAAAUGCUGGUAGGAAACAUUGCUAUCUUUCAUUGUGCAGUACUGUAUUGUGGACUUAUAUAAUGGGUUUGCCUUUUUCUUGAAAUUCUCUCUGAGUUUGUUCUCAUUGUUCAACCUUCAGCAAAGAAACUGUAGCGAAGGACAUCACAAGAGAUGACAUAUUUAUCUAUAGGAGCUCUGUUUCUUCCUCAUUCCUUUCCUUGUUCCUUCCACCUCUCUUUUUAGGGAGAAACAGACAGUUCUGGUGGAAAGCAAUGCAUACAUACAGAGAUUUAAUUUCUUAGAAAAAUCUAGGAAUGUAGCCACAGAAUGACACAGCACUUGCUGGUAUAUUGCCACACAUUGCCCUAUCUUACUUGGAACAGGGCUUCCUAUAGGCUUAAAUUUAUAUAUCUGUGUAAACAACACAUUUAAAGCCACUAUCAGUUCCUUAGAAAAAUACUUUACAAAUGCAAUGUUUUUUCAAGGAUUCCAGUGUAUAAAAAUUGUUCUAUUUUCUUGACAUCACAUUUUGGAUUCUAUUUAGGAAUGAAUUACAAGUGUGACUUGAUAUCUGUAAUGUGGUUCAGUACUCUUCUAUCCCCUCAUAGGAUAGUGAUAUCCUAUAGUGAGUAUAGUGAGAUAUAUAUAGAGAGAUAUCCUAUAGUGAGAUAUAUAUAGAGAGAUAUCCUAUAGGAUAGUGAGGAUCUAUGUUUUUACCUUUCAGCAUGAUUAUCUUAUCUUGCUGUUGUUUUUAACCACCUAUCUUGUUACUUAUUUAUAUUAUAUUACAAAGCCUUUGUUGAAUAAGAGCACCUGCGAUUUGCAGUGACAGGUAAAAAUAUAUAUAUAUAUAUAUAUUGCACUUAUAUCAAGCAGUCCCAAUGCCACCUGUGAUUAUUCUGUAACACUUUCCAUGACAUUUCAUACAUAUUUAAGCCCUAAGACAAGGGAUGCUGUGGUUACCAGUACCAGUCAACAUAAAUUCUGAGGGAUGCACUGGGUCUCACCUGUUUGGGGCCCUCACUUUCCCCGUGGCUGAUUUUGAGAGGGAGAAUCAUUACUACUUAACAACUCAUGGCAAAUUCUUCCUUUCCCUCUCCUAUUGCCUGUGUAAAUGGAGGCAGGAGAGUAUUUUCAUAUUUCUGCCUGCCAACUCAUUUCUUUGCAUUCAAAAUGUUACCAGAAUAUUUAUCUUCUGAAGCAUCCGGUAGGAGCUGAAAAUGUUCUAGGUAUUAAUAAAAUGCUUAAAAGAUCAGUAGCGUACUGCCCCUAGAAAUUUCCACUGAGAAAGCAAGGGGAGGAGACACUGAUGAAUGACUCUAGGCCACCCAUGGAAAAGAGGGAAAAGUGUUUCCAAAUGCACUGUUAAGCCUGUAUGAUAUAUAUUUUUUUAUUCUAAACGUCCUCUGAGACGGAAUUUCUGACCUUCACCAUCUUUAACUGUUGUUUUCUUCUUUUUUUCCCACAUGAACACUGCUAAAUCUGUGCCACUGUCAAAAUGCUGAGUAAGCGUUUGAAAUGUGUCUUCGAUGCACCAUUUCAGUUAGUGCUUUAAAUGCUCGCUGUGCAUUUAAAAACUUUGUCCUGGAAUAGGUGCAAUUUCACUGCAGAUACUGAGCAAACCAUAAUGUUGCUACCUAAACAAAUGCCACUGGGGCAUUGCAGAAGACAGAAUAUCAUCAUAUCUAAGAAAUAAAACCAAAGACCACUUGAAACUCUAUCAAAAGGCUGUAUUGCUUUCAAAAAUAUAUAAAAGAAACAGGAUAAUUUUCUACAUUAACAAGCAGCAUCGUGCAAUAGGAGUGGAUCUCUAGAUUGGUUUUCAGGACUUUAACUCUAUACUAAACAUACGUAUUUGUUUUGCCUCUUACUUUUACUGUAGAUUGUCAUUUGAUUCUGUGUGCCUGAUUACCUGCUGGCAGCUGGAACACAUUUCUGAUUUAAUUUCACUCAAAGGGAAUCCAGUAUGUGUGCUCUGAGACCACUAAGUGCUAUAAACCAAUGUGCAGUAAGCAAGGACAAUCAGAAGGUUUGCUUCAAAAAAUCACUAUUGAUCUGAACUAGAAUGCUAAUGUUAACCCCUGAAGACUUACUAUCAAGGUCCUGGAGUAACUCUCUUCGGAGGCAACCUAAAUAAAAAUUAAGCG